rnacentral:lncRNA from 1 species
GCCCUGAGUACUUUAACCCAGCACCCUGGGCUAAGCCUCGGGUGGAUUUCUAGCAGACACUGACAUUUUCCACUGCUUUCCCAGGCAACUCCUCACAUAAGAGAUUUGGAUUUGUACAGAGAAGAAGAAAAACUAAAAGGAACUGGUAACAGACCGGGAAGGAUCUUUUAUUCUGUCUAGAAAAUCUACAUUCGAGACUUAAGAAGGGAAAGCAGCAGACACACUGCUUGGGCUUGUGUGCCAUCUGCGAUUUUACAAGAUAGAUGAAUUUGUCUCUGGCUUUGCUGGCAUUUUCCCUACUUCCUUCCUGACACGCUCCCCACGGGACGAACUGCACUUUUUGGCUCACCUCCCAAAUCCAGGCUGCUCUUACUGGCUUGACCCUGAUCCCUGACAACGGGAUGGCCACUGAGUGUGAAAAGUCAGACCGCUGUGAUCUACUUCAGCUUAAAAACUGCGCCUGAUUGAAGACAGCACAAGGAACAGUACAGGAGAGAGACCAAGCACACACGUGAACGUCACAUUCAUUUGUUCUGCAGUUCCAGAAACACGCUGAGAAGAAUGAAUCCCAGCAGUCCACGGUGUGAAGAAAAGAAAUGUGGUAAGGAUCUCCAAAACCAGCCUAUGUAGUCCGCAGCCAGCGGCUGGUCUGCAGGCUCAGAGCAUUGCUAUCUGAACUAGAAACAUCCUAAGCUCACUAUUAAAAAGUUGAUAUUGUCUUGGAUCUGUGGGGUAGAUCAGAGGAGAUGGUGAGAAGGAAAUACCUGAAAGUGAUUAGCAUCUUGGAAGAACUCCAGGGAGAUUUUUGAGGAGGAGUGUGUGCAAGGUUUGGCCAGGAUGCCUAAUAGCAUAGCAAGCAGUGACUUUCUUCCAUGCCUUUCAGACUUCUGGUAGCUCAUAAGUACCAGUAAGUACCAUUCUAGUACAGUAGCAUCAUAAGUACAUCCAUUGCUAUGUUCUUGGUAACAUCCCAAAUAACAUCUACUCUGUGGACAAAUAUAUUAACUAUUGGUCCCUGUAGAUGGUGAUCUAGCACAGAAACUAACUAAAAUCUGAGAGGGUUCCAAAUGGCAUGUUUAUUUUGUUUUCUGUCCAGAAACAGAAGACAUUGUGAAAGGAAAGAACAACAUAUCUUUUCAAGAGAUUGAUGAUUAUUUUGUGAGAUGCUGGGAUGCUGGCAACGUAUGGACCAGGCAGCAUAUCUGUCAGGCUUUGGUCAAAAACAUCAAGAAGGACUUUCUGACCUUCUGUAUCAGAAAAUCAGAAUGGCCAUCUCCACCGCUGGUUCUAGUUUUAUCAUCAGUGGCAAUUUCUGAGGUCAGCCUGGCUUAAUCUUUAAAGACUAUGCUAGCAGUCAAACAGGUAAAAAUUCAUUGUCUGUGCUGCAGAAAUGGUCAAGUCAAACUGCGUUAGCUUUUCAUGGCUUCAUCAUUUACAAAUGAACAUUUUAAUGGGGGGAGACAGUUUAAGGGGACUUGGGGCAAUAAGGCAAAAUCCUUGGAAAUCUGGGAAGGAGAUGUGUUGGAGGAACAUAGACAUCUGUGUCUUUGAUGUGGUGCUUCUUAAUGGUUUUGUUUAUUCCUUUUGGCAUAUCUUGGCCAACGUUGGGAAUUUCAUGAUGAACAUUAUCACCAUGAAUAAAGUGACAGAUUAAAAAGUUUGUGUAAAACUGGGUGUUCUAUAAGUAAUGUGUUUUGCUG